rnacentral:lncRNA from 1 species
AUUUUCUGCCACGAGCAAAUAGAAAAGAUGAGAUAUUGUGGGAGCAAACUGAGGAUCUUACCAGUAUGGUUUCAAAUCCUGGUGGGACAUUCGGUGGGAUGUGGAUACCAUCGAGCAUAGGGAUGCCAUCAUCCCACCAUAUUGUCUCAAACUUUCAAGACAGGAUGGAACCACGGCAUGUUCCGUUCCAUAGAAUGCAAUCAGAAAAGCUGGCUCAUGAGAUUUAAAACCUUGCAUAUCAAUGAGAUUAGUAAAUGUUACUAGAACUUUCAUAGUGAGGCAGCAUUAGAGAGAGUCACUUCCAAGCAAUAAUAAUAUUGACAAUGGAAGUUAGAAUGGCUUUGGUGAAGCUGUUUCUGGAGAUUUACAUCCUGUUUGAGAUUGCUGUUGAUAGUAAAACUUUUGGAAGUACGAGUUGGGAACUUGGUCCAAACUCGACUUGAUUAUUAUCCUGGUCUUGCUUCCAUGUCCUUACUAUAGUAUCCAAGACCCGCUUAUCCAUGGUCCGCUGUUAUUCCCAGCUACCACCUGAUUUGUUCUCACUCCAUCUUUAGUAUUUACACGGUGCCUUCCAUGGUCACCAUUAUUAUGGCCAUGAAACAGCUUACCUCCUCUCUAAUUAGAUAGCACAUGAGAUUUAACAACACUAUGGACCUCAUGGCCCUGCAGCUGCUUCAAAUAUGGUAAUAGCAUCAACAGUAGCAUUCCAUUGCAUAAUAUAACAACGCAUCCCUAACAU